rnacentral:rRNA from 1 species
UACAGAGGGUGCAAGCGUUAAUCGGAAUUACUGGGCGUAAAGCGCACGCAGGCGGUUGGUUAAGUCAGAUGUGAAAGCCCCGGGCUCAACCUGGGAAUUGCAUUUGAACCUGGCCAACUAGAGUACGUGAGAGGGGGGUAGAAUUCCAAGUGUAGCGGUGAAAUGCGUAGAGAUUUGGAGGAAUACCAGUGGCGAAGGCGGCCCCCUGGCACGAUACUGACGCUCAGGUGCGAAAGCGUGGGGAGCAAACAGG